rnacentral:rRNA from 1 species
AGAGUUUGAUUAUGGCUCAGAACGAACGCUGGCGGCAGGCUUAACACAUGCAAGUCGAGCGCGUAGCAAUACGAGCGGCAGACGGGUGAGUAACGCGUGGGAAUCUACCCAUCUCUACGGAACAACUCCGGGAAACUGGAGCUAAUACCGUAUACGUCCUUUUGGAGAAAGAUUUAUCGGAGAUGGAUGAGCCCGCGUUGGAUUAGCUAGUUGGUGGGGUAAUGGCCUACCAAGGCGACGAUCCAUAGCUGGUCUGAGAGGAUGAUCAGCCACACUGGGACUGAGACACGGCCCAGACUCCUACGGGAGGCAGCAGUGGGGAAUAUUGGACAAUGGGCGCAAGCCUGAUCCAGCCAUGCCGCGUGAGUGAUGAAGGCCCUAGGGUUGUAAAGCUCUUUCACCGGUGAAGAUGAUGACGGUAACCGGAGAAGAAGCCCCGGCUAACUUCGUGCCAGCAGCCGCGGUAA